GUUAAAUGGCCAGCAGGAAUUAUCCACUAGAGAAGCGGAAGGGAGAGAAUGGAAAUGGCCGCAUGCAGCUCCUCUCCCUCAGACAGCUCGGGGCUCAGCGGAAUGAGCACAGUCUGCAGGACAAGUGCGGAGGACUUCAGUCCCCUCUACUGUAUAUUGGCUUUAGGACUCAAGUUGUCCCUGAAAUAGAGGAAGGUGUUUUCUAGGGUAGUGGUAAUUAUCACAGUCAAAAAAGUAGGCGAGAGCACUUAGGAAAACUGUGCGGAGAUCGGCUGCUGAUGUGUAAAUACUGCUGAAGCUGCUUAUUCAAGAUUAGAAAACCUGAGACCCAGACGGGGGAAACUGCUUUCCAUGGUUAAUCGUCAACAACUGGCCAGGAUGGGACAGAAGCCCAUACAUAGCCUUCAUUCCAGGGCUCAGAACAAAAAGAAGGCAGUGGCCUGGGCUGCACCUGAGCUUGGCUUCACAUAGGAGGGAUUCUGGAACGCAGGAUCCUGACAACGACCUCAAGCCCCUGUAAAGCAACACAUUUUUUGGCAAGAAUCCCUGGGACAGAGAAAGAAUUUCUUCUCACUUAUUAUUGAGAAUGUUCUCAUGUCUUGCAAGGCUCACUGCCCAGUAGAAGCUGAAAAGAUUCAGUAUGAGUAAAAGAAGAGAUCUGAAAUUUGCAGCUUGUCAUAGAAAGAACUGAGACUACCAUACACCUAAGAAGUCAAAGUUGCUAUUCAAGGGGAAGUGCAAACACAAGAUGAGGGAAACUGAUGUAUUUAGUGUCUACAUUUUACAAAUGGAUGCUUUUCAUAAUAUGAAAAUACUGCACCAUAAGAUUGCCAGUCACAACAGCACGGCUACAGUGAAAAUUGUCAGUCUUUUUUUUUUCCAGGAUCCCAGUGGAUUUGUUACGGUGAGAAAGCUUCACUUGGAGACAAAGCCAAAACCUUCCUCCCAGGCUCCCUUGGAUGUAGGGGGAAGCAAACUGGCUGUCCAGGCCUCUGAGCCACAUCUACACACCUCAUGAGAGGGCCUGUGCAACAUUGCCUUAGAGAUGGAGAGCAUUGCUUCAGAAUCAGGGAAGCCUAAAUUUCACCCCUGGGGCUGCCCCUUGUGAUCUUGAAUGGCUCCUGACAAGAGGCUGCUGGGGAGGCUCCUGCUCCCUGCCUUUCGGGACUGCCGUGGAUUGCCCAUUGAUGGGUCAAAAUCCAGCUACCUGGUAAUUCAAUGAGUCCCUAGUGUGCAUCCAAUAAAUUAUCUUCUGUUUAAAUUAGAACAAACUGUUUUUAAUCUGUGUGCUAAGAAUCUCAUUAAAUGCAUCAUAAAUUUCAAAAUCAAAAACUAA
rnacentral:lncRNA from 1 species